AUUGAACGCUGGCGGCAUGCCUUACACAUGCAAGUCGAACGGUAACAGGUCUUCGGAUGCUGACGAGUGGCGAACGGGUGAGUAAUACAUCGGAACGUGCCUAGUAGUGGGGGAUAACUACUCGAAAGAGUGGCUAAUACCGCAUGAGAUCUACGGAUGAAAGCAGGGGAUCGCAAGACCUUGUGCUACUAGAGCGGCCGAUGGCAGAGUAGGUAGUUGGUGGGAUAAAAGCUUACCAAGCCGACGAUCUGUAGCUGGUCUGAGAGGACGAUCAGCCACACUGGGACUGAGACACGGCCCAGACUCCUACGGGAGGCAGCAGUGGGGAAUUUUGGACAAUGGGCGCAAGCCUGAUCCAGCAAUGCCGCGUGCAGGAUGAAGGCCUUCGGGUUGUAAACUGCUUUUGUACGGAACGAAAAGCCCUGGGUUAAUACCCUGGGGUCAUGACGGUACCGUAAGAAUAAGCACCGGCUAACUACGUGCCAGCAGCCGCGGUAACAC
rnacentral:rRNA from 1 species